CUCCAGUUAUCCAUACGCCAAUCCAUAACGUAUGGAAGGGAACCCGGUGAACUGAAACAUCUAAGUAGCCGGAGGAAGAGAAAACAACAUGUGAUUCUGUGAGUAGCGGCGAGCGAAAACGGAAGAGCCCAAACCAGCGUGCGUGCAUGCUGGGGUUCGGACCGCGGAAUUGAUUCAACGAGUUUAGCAGAACGGUUUUGGGAAAGCCGGCCAGAGAGGGUGAAAGCCCCGUAAGCGAAAGACGAGUUGACAUGGCGGGAUCCAGAGUACCACGAGACACGUGGAACCUUGUGGGAAAUCAGGGGGACCACCCCCUAAGGCUAAAUACUACUUAGUGACCGAUAGCGCAUAGUACUGUGAAGGAAAGGUGAAAAGGACCCCGGGAGGGGAGUGAAAGAGAACCUGAAACCCUGUGUCUACAAGCUGUGGAAGUACUUCUCAGGUACGACCGCGUACUUUUUGUAGAACGGUCCGGCGAGUUACGCUUACUGGCAAGGUUAAGCACUUCAGGUGUGGAGCCGUAGGGAAACCAAGUCUUAAGAGGGCCUUAAGUCAGUAGGAGUAGACCCGAAACCGGGUGAUCUAUCCAUGUCCAGGUUGAAGUUGCCGUAAAAGGCAAUGGAGGACCGAACCCACAUCCGUUGAAAAGGGUGGGGAUGAGGUGUGGAUAGGGGAGAAAUUCCAAUCGAACCCGGAGAUAGCUGGUUCUCCUCGAAAUAGCUUUAGGGCUAGCCUCGAUACAGAUUUGCGGAGGUAGAGCACUGAAUUUCCUAGGGGGCGUCAAAGCCUACCGAAGAAUAUCAAACUCCGAAUGCCGUGUAGAUAUCACCGGGAGUCAGACUGCACGAGAUAAGUUGGGCGGUCAAAAGGGAAAGAGCCCAGACCUUCAGUUAAGGUCCCCAAGUGCGCGUUAAGUGGAAAAGGAUGUGGGAUUUCGAAGACAACCAGGAUGUUGGCUCAGAAGCAGCCAUUCAUUCAAAGAGUGCGUAAUAGCUCACUAGUCGAGAGGUCCUGCGCCGAAAAUGUCCGGGGCUGAAACGCGCCACCGAAACUAAGGAACCGAAAGGUUGGUAGAGGAGCAUUGCAUGCGGGAAGAAGCAGUACCGUAAGGAGCUGUGGACUGCAUGGAAGAGAGAAUGCCGGAAUGAGUAGCGAGAAUAAGGUGAGAAUCCUUAUGGCCGAAUAUCCAAGGUUUCCAGAGUAAAGCUGAUCUGCUCUGGGUAAGUCGGGGCCUAAGGCGAGGACGAGAGUCGUAGCCGAUGGACAACAGGUGGAGAUUCCUGUACUGCGGUAUGACAGAACUGUGGGGACACGUAAGGAAAGCGGAAGCCGGGAAUGGAAAGCCCGGUGCAAGCGGGGUACCAGUCACUUUGGCAAAUCCGGGUGGCAAUGGGAAGCCGUGAUGCGGAGCGAAAUAAAGUAGCGAAGUCCGUGAGCCAUGCGUCAAGAAAAGCCGCUAUUGUUUAUACCGUACCCGUACCGUAAACCGACACAGGUGGAUGAGGAGAGAAUCCUAAGGCCGGCGGAAGAAGCAUUGUCAAGGAACUCGGCAAAAUGGCCCCGUAACUUAGGGAUAAGGGGUGCCUGGGAAACCAGGCCGCAGAGAAUAGGCUCAAGCAACUGUUUAGCAAAAACACAGGUCUAUGCGAAACCGAAAGGUGAGGUAUAUGGGCUGACGCCUGCCCGGUGCUGGAAGGUUAAGAGGAGAGGUUAGCGCAAGCGAAGCUUUGAAUUUAAGCCCCAGUAAACGGCGGCCGUAACUAUAACGGUCCUAAGGUAGCGAAAUUCCUUGUCGGGUAAGUUCCGACCCGCACGAAAGGCGUAAUGAUUUGAGCGCUGUCUCGACAAUGCAUCCGGUGAAAUUGAAGUACCAGUGAAGAUGCUGGUUACCUGCGCCAGGACGGAAAGACCCCAUGGAGCUUUACUCCAGCUUGAUACUGGGAUUCGGUAUUGCAUGUACAGGAUAGGUGGGAGGCUAGGAAAUGGUAACGCCAGUUGCCAUGGAGCCGCUGUUGGGAUACCACCCUUGCAGUAUUGGGUUUCUAACCAGCAGCCGUGAUCCGGCUGGGGGACAAUGUCAGGUGGGGAGUUUGACUGGGGCGGUCGCCUCCGAAAGGGUAUCGGAGGCGCUCAAAGGUUCCCUCAGAAUGGUCGGAAACCAUUCGAAGAGUGCAAAGGCAGAAGGGAGCUUGACUGCGACACCGACGGGUGGAGCAGGUACGAAAGUAGGACUUAGUGAUCCGGUGGUAUAAAGUGGGAUUGCCAUCGCUCAACGGAUAAAAGCUACCCUGGGGAUAACAGGCUUAUCACUCCCAAGAGUUCACAUCGACGGAGUGGUUUGGCACCUCGAUGUCGGCUCAUCGCAUCCUGGGGCUGUAGUAGGUCCCAAGGGUUGGGCUGUUCGCCCAUUAAAGCGGUACGCGAGCUGGGUUCAGAACGUCGUGAGACAGUUCGGUCCCUAU
rnacentral:rRNA from 1 species